ensembl:snoRNA
CUGCCAGUCAAGUGCAGCUGCUGAUCUGUGUGUUCUGCAGCUGGUUUAUCUCCUGGCUAGAUCACUGCCAGAGUACGAGCUCCGGCAUCGGCUAGUGUUGUCUGGAGUCCCUGACAACGGCUACAUGC